UCUGGGAUCCUGUGGUGCACACCUGUAGUCCAAGGAGGCUAACGCAGGAGGAUCACUUGGGUCCAGGAAUUCUUUGGCUGUAGUGUCCAAUGCUAAUUGGGUGUCUGUACUAGGUACCCAGGAGUGGGUACCACUACGUUGCCUAAGGAGGACUGAACCUGCCCAGGCUAGAAGUGGAGCAGGUCAAAACUCCUUGAUGAUCAGUAGUGGGACUGUGCCUGUGAAUAGCCACUGCACUCCAGCCUGGAUAACACACAGAGAAA
rnacentral:SRP_RNA from 1 species